AGGAGUGAAAGCCCCGGGUCUUAACCUGGGAAUUCAUUUCAGACUGGGAAUCUAGAGUACUUUAGGGAGGGGUAGAAUUCCACGUGUAGCGGUGAAAUGCGUAGAGAUGUGGAGGAAUACCGAAGGCGAAGGCAGCCCCUUGGGAAUGUACUGACGCUCAUGUGCGAAAGCGUGGGGAGCAAAGCAGGAUUAGAUAUCCCUGGUAGUCCCACCGCUGUAAAUCGCUGUCGAUUUGGGGGUUGGGGUUUAACUCUGGCGCCCGUAGCUAACCGUGAUAAAUCGCCCGCCU
rnacentral:rRNA from 1 species